GAGAGAGAGAGAGAGAGAGAGAGAGAGAGAGAGAGAGAGAGAGAGAGAGAGAGAGAGAAUUAGAGAAAAAACUUUUCCGAACUUCUCAUUCCGCUUUCGGUUGCAGACUUCAGAGUCACCGUGAUCAUGCAAGCCUUUCACAUCACGUGAGGAUCAAGGGCUCAAUUGGUUGUCGUGAGAACAAAAAUGGUGACAAGCGUAUCAAGAAAAUACUGAUCUGGUCUUUAAAAAAAAAAAAAGCUGAAGGUUUCUCCUUCCCCUGCAACCCCCCCUCCCUGCACGCCCUACAGUGGGCGAAGCUACAAGUUAUGAAUGUGAAACAUUUCUCAGCCAUCUCGGAAGUUCGGAAGGAGGGAAAUGUAAUGGCCACAAGAGCAAAGCAGAUGUUUUAAAGAAACAGCUUAUAAACCUUUCCUCAACUGAUCUCCAAUUUGUCGGCUUUCCCAAGGGGCCAAGGCGGAGGACGCCUAGGGGGAGGGCAGAGUACCUCGGAGCUGCUGGGAUUUUAGGAAACACCCCCCCCCAUGUAUUAAACAAAGAAAAACAUUUUGCUAGCUCCCAAACAGGGACUUGUAAUAAACACACCAUUGUUACUAUUUGUGGGUUUGUUUGGGUUGGGUGGGGCUCCCCCCACACACACACCUUCUCUUAAUGUUUUUUUUUUUCUUCUUGCCCUUUUUUUUUAAGAAGGUGGAAAAUGGUAGUUACAGUCAUUACAUGUAAUGGAUGAAUAUUCCCUAGUUUACUAUUAAAUUACUGAGCAGGAGGAUGUGACAGGAGAGAAAUCGGCUUGUUCUACCCGGGUUCCCAUUUGCCUGGCUCGGUCUGGGCGGGGGUCCGCUCAGCUCCGGUAGAAGAGGAAAGGAGGGGGAAGGUACGCAGGAGACCUGACAGGGAGGACCAGGGUGUGUAACUGAAUCACUCUUAGUCUCCUUUGGGUUAGAGCCCAAAAGGUAAUUUACUCUAAGUUAGCCCAAGUGCCCAGUCAAGCUUAAUUUGUCUAAAGAAGUUACAAAGUCACCCUCCACUGAAUAAAAUUCACCGUUCUUGGGCUGUUCUAAAUGCAUAGCCAAACCCUGUAACUAGUUCCUCAUUUCAAUGCAUAAAACUCUCACAUUCCCCUGCAUGAAAACCCCACUAAAGUGCUAUAUAGCGACACACCACGCAACCGUACUUACGGUCUGUAUGGGAGCGAGUUGACCUUUUCCUUCUAACUGCAUUGAGUGUGUUUGGUUGCAGCCGCUUUAUUUUGGAAAUUAUAAUUUCUUCAAUUUUUUUUUAUUAAAGAUGGACCAGCAAAUGUCACAGAC